UACGUAGGGUGCAAGCGUUUAAUCGGAAUUACUGGGCGUAAAGCGUGCGCAGGCGGCUUUGCAAGACAGAUGUGAAAUCCCCGGGCUUAACCUGGGAACUGCAUUUGUGACUGCAUGGCUGGAGUGCGGCAGAGGGGGAUGGAAUUCCGCGUGUAGCAGUGAAAUGCGUAGAUAUGCGGAGGAACACCGAUGGCGAAGGCAGUCCCCCUGGGCCUGCACUGGCGCUCAUGCA
rnacentral:rRNA from 1 species